AUUGAAUCCAUCUGAUUGAACUGCACGGUAAGGGGACGAAGAGAAGCCACUAGAAAUCAUUGUUGCGGGAUUGAGCAUAUUAGUUCUCUUCCUUUGAGAUGAUGUGGCUAUUUGCGUCUGCGCUGGAAGAGCCUGAAUUGCUAUAGGACUUCUAGUGAUAUUUCUGGGUAAUGGUGGUCUGGCAGUUUCAGCGGUAACAAUUGAACUUCCG
rnacentral:misc_RNA from 1 species